AGAUUGAACGCUGGCGGCAUGCCUUACACAUGCAAGUCGAACGGCAGCACGGGAGCAAUCCUGGUGGCGAGUGGCGAACGGGUGAGUAAUACAUCGGAACGUGCCCAGUAGUGGGGGAUAACCCGGCGAAAGCCGGACUAAUACCGCAUACGACCUACGGGUGAAAGCGGGGGAUCGCAAGACCUUGCGCUAUUGGAGCGGCCGAUGUCAGAUUAGCUUGUUGGUGGGGUAAAAGCCCACCAAGGCGACGAUCUGUAGC
rnacentral:rRNA from 1 species